rnacentral:lncRNA from 1 species
GAGGCUGUUUCCAAAUAGACCUCCGACAUUCUUCCCUCCAAGAACUUCCCACCUUGCUCUUGGGGAGAGUCGAACUCACAACCUCUCGGUUGAAAGUGGGGGUUGCUUACCAUCAGAGCAACCCUUCUUGUCUUUACUUCGCGAAGAGGACUGCGAAAAAUAAAGAUAGAAAUAGACUUAGCUGGAGAUGUAGCUGGAUUAUAGGUAUAUUUUUGGAUGCAUUCCUCUCAAAUCAAGAAUGGGAGUGGCUUACAAAUAUAUAUACAUUUGCAAUGGUGGGGGAGUUGCUAUAUUCUUGUUGGGCUUCCCAUUUUAUGAAUGCAUUAGGGAGCUUCCUUCUUUAUGUCUUUAAGAUUGUUAAAGCAGCAAUAUCAACGAGAAAUCUGAAUUACCCAGUCUCUCAUCAUCAGCUGUUCAAGAAUAACACACUACCGAUACAGAGAUUCUUUCUCGCGUUGCUUUCCUCAGGUACAUUAUAGUGUAAUACGUACCUAAGCUUAACUCCUAUUGACUAGUUGGUACUUUGUACAGAUACAGUAGUAUGUCCUUAAUUUUGUAUAACCAUAUGAUAUCCGAUAUCUAGUGACUCAAACGUAUGCGAAUCAUCCAACUUAUAAUAUAUAAUCUUUUUUUUGUGUAGAUGGUUAGACAAGGCACCCAUACUGGAGGUGUCGUCCUCUUCACGUUCAGAAUCAACCGAGGAAGAAAACAUGGUGGCCAGACGACUUUUUGAGUGAGGAAAGUGAAAUACUUAUUAAAGAUGCUCCCGCUGUGGUCAACAUUUCUUGUUUACAAUCUUGUUAGGGCUAGGAGCUUUUUGUGUAAAGCAAUGUCACGUCACUUCAUUUAUAUAUUAUUGUAACGGCCCGACCCGUCGUCUCAGGUAGCUCCGCCCCGUUUUCCCCGUUUUAUGCUGUUAUAUUUUAAAUGUAUGUAUUUGGAGAGUUUGAAAUAAUUCGAAUGGAGUUUGGAUAGAAAUGAGACAAUUAGUUCCUUUAUGAGAAGGUUAAUUUGGAAAAGUCAAUCUAAGUUGACUUAUGAAUUAGAGGGCUCGGAAUGGAUUUUUGAUGAUUCGACUAGUUUGGGAUGGUGAUUUGUGAGUUAG